GGAGAGCACUGGACUUGGAGUCAGAAGGCUGGAGCUUACAGGGCAGCACCGUCAUCUACUGGUGGAGAACUACGCC
ensembl:miRNA